UCAGCAGGGAGCUGGUAAGUCUAGACUGGAAAACUGAGAUCUCGUGUCAGCACAAAACUCCCAAUAACAAGAAAGAUUGAAGAGGGGAGAAAAACACACAAGAUGCCAAAGGAGCGGAGCAUUAUCGCCAACUUAAAUGGGAGUGGGAAUGUGUUCUUGGCUAACAAACGGACAAGCCAGGUUUCCCUUUGUGGUGCUAGUGGAAAUGCCCCACUGAUGGAGGAACAGAUGCUUUCCUUAUUCAGUUGCGCCAUGGGAAUCACUAGAGACUUGGGUGAUGCGUUCUCACUUCCUCCUCAUCCUUUCUCUUGGUGUAGAUUUCUGCUCAUGUUGAGAAAGCCUCCAAAAGGCCCAGCCGCAGAGCAGAUUUUCUCCUAGUGUGUUGUGCUUCCAUUCCGGGUCCUGCAAAUUCACAUCUGAACAUUGCUGAAACUCAUUAAAAGGAGCAGUUUGAGUUCAGCUAUAAAACUGGUCAAAGGUCUAAAAAGGUUCAUAU